rnacentral:misc_RNA from 1 species
CACUUUCUAGAGUUACAGUAUUUGUUAAAUGGUUUGCAGGAAAGGAAAAAUUAAAAUGAACUACAAACUGAUAUAUUAGAUAGCUCCAAACUUGGCAGAAGGUCAAGCUAUCAAAUGAAAGUUUGAUGAUUAUCACAGGGAGAACGACAAGCAAAAAGAUUGGAAGGCAAAUGGAGUCGACUCAAGAAUUCAAACUGAACAUAUUAUGAGAUGGCCAACUCUUCUUACUUGGGAUUCCUAAGAACGAUAAUGACCGAGUCUCCUCUCAGGAACAUCUUACUGAUGAAUCUGUCCUUGUUAACAGGCUGAGCCUUUUUCUUGCCCUUCCCAGUUUUUGGUACCUCAGUCCACAUCUCUCUAACAUUUUCCAGAACCAUAUUACAAUGUCGGUCGAAGGCCCUUACACGUCCCAAAAGCUUCUUAUUAUUGCGACAAUUUAUGAGAACCUGAGUGUUGUUUUUAACACUCAUCAUGAG